UGUUGGGUUAAGUCCCGCAACGAGCGCAACCCUUAUUGUUAGUUGCCAUCAUUUAGUUGGGCACUCUAGCGAGACUGCCGGUGACAAACCGGAGGAAGGUGGGGAUGACGUCAAAUCAUCAUGCCCCUUAUGACCUGGGCUACACACGUGCUACAAUGGGAAGUACAACGAGUUGCGAAGUCGCGAGGCUAAGCUAAUCUCUUAAAGCUUCUCUCAGUUCGGAUUGUAGGCUGCAACUCGCCUACAUGAAGCCGGAAUCGCUAGUAAUCGCGGAUCAGCACGCCGCGGUGAAUACGUUCCCGGGCCUUGUACACACCGCCCGUCACACCACGAGAGUUUGUAACACCCGAAGUCGGUGAGGUAACCUUUUUGGAGCCAGCCGCCUAAGGUGGGAUAGAUGAUUGGGGUGAAGUCGUAACAAGGUAGCCGUAUCGGAAGGUGCGGCUGGAUCACCUCCUUUCUAAGGAA
rnacentral:rRNA from 1 species